AGGAUUAUAGUUUAAUAAAACACUUGAUUUGCAUUCAAGAGAUAUUGAAAUCUCAAUUUAUCUUA
rnacentral:tRNA from 1 species